rnacentral:rRNA from 1 species
GAUGAAUGCUGGCGGCGUGCUUAACACAUGCAAGUCGAGCGGCAGCGCGGUCUUCGGACUGGCGGCGAGCGGCGGACGGCUGAGUAACGCGUGGGAACGUGCCCCAAAGUGAGGAAUAACUGCCCGAAAGGGUGGCUAAUGCCGCAUAUGGUCUUCGGAUUAAAGGAUUUAUCCGCUUUGGGAGCGGCCUGCGUAUGAUUAGGUAGUUGGUGAGGUAAUGGCUCACCAAGCCGACGAUCAUUAGCUGGUCUGAGAGGAUGACCAGCCAGACUGGAACUGAGACACGGUCCAGACUCCUACGGGAGGCAGCAGUGAGGAAUCUUCCACAAUGGGCGAAAGCCUGAUGGAGCAACGCCGCGUGCAGGAUGAAGGCCUUCGGGUUGUAAACUGCUUUUAUAAGUGAAGAAUAUGACGGUAACUUAUGAAUAAGCACCGGCUAACUACGUGCCAGCAGCCGCCGCCG